rnacentral:rRNA from 1 species
AUUGAACGCUGGCGGCAGGCCUAACACAUGCAAGUCGAGCGGAUGAAGGGAGCUUGCUCCUGGAUUCAGCGGCGGACGGGUGAGUAAUGCCUAGGAAUCUGCCUGGUAGUGGGGGAUAACGUCCGGAAACGGGCGCUAAUACCGCAUACGUCCUGAGGGAGAAAGUGGGGGAUCUUCGGACCUCACGCUAUCAGAUGAGCCUAGGUCGGAUUAGCUAGUUGGUGGGGUAAAGGCCUACCAAGGCGACGAUCCGUAACUGGUCUGAGAGGAUGAUCAGUCACACUGGAACUGAGAAACGGUCAAGACUCCUACGGGAGGCAGCAGUGGGGAAUAUUGGACAAUGGGCGAAAGCCUGAUCCAGCCAUGCCGCGUGUGUGAAGAAGGUCUUCGGAUUGUAAAGCACUUUAAGUUGGGAGGAAGGGCAGUAAGUUAAUACCUUGCUGUUUUGAAGUUACCAACAGAAUAAGCACCGGCUAACUUCGUG